AGUGAACGCUGGCGGUAGGCCUAACACAUGCAAGUCGAACGGCAGCACAGUAAGAGCUUGCUCUUACGGGUGGCGAGUGGCGGACGGGUGAGGAAUACAUCGGCAUCUACUUUUUCGUGGGGGAUAACGUAGGGAAACUUACGCUAAUACCGCAUACGACCUACGGGUGAAAGCAGGGGAUCUUCGGACCUUGCGCGAUUGAAUGAGCCGAUGUCGGAUUAGGUAGUUGGCGGGGUAAAGGCCCACCAAGGCGACGAUCCGUAGCUGGUCUGAGAGGAUGAUCAGCCACACUGGAACUGAGACACGGUCCAGACUCCUACGGGAGGCAGCAGUGGGGAAUAUUGGACAAUGGGCGCAAGCCUGAUCCAGCCAUACCGCGUGGGUGAAGAAGGCCUUCGGGUUGUAAAGCCCUUUUGUUGGGAAAGAAAAGCAGCAGGUUAAUACCCCGCUGUUCUGACGGUACCCAAAGAAUAAGCACCGGCUAACUUCGUG
rnacentral:rRNA from 1 species